rnacentral:rRNA from 1 species
AACGAACGCUGGCGGCAUGCCUAACACAUGCAAGUCGAACGAGACCUUCGGGUCUAGUGGCGCACGGGUGCGUAACGCGUGGGAACCUGCCCUUAGGUUCGGAAUAACUCCCCGAAAGGGGUGCUAAUACCGGAUCAUGUCUUCGGACCAAAGAUUUAUCGCCUUUGGAUGGGCCCGCGUUGGAUUAGCUAGUUGGUAGGGUAAAAGCCUAUCAAGGCGACGAUCCAUAGCUGGUCUGAGAGGAUGAUCAGCCACACUGGGACUGAGACACGGCCCAGACUCCUACGGGAGGCAGCAGUGGGGAAUAUUGGACAAUGGGCGAAAGCCUGAUCCAGCAAUGCCGCGUGAGUGAUGAAGGCCGUAGGGUUGUAAAGCUCUUUUACCCGGGAUGAUAAUGACAGUACCGGGAGAAUAAGCACCGGCUAACUCCGUG